rnacentral:rRNA from 1 species
CCUACGGGUGGCUGCAGUAGGGAAUUUUGCGCAAUGGGCGAAAGCCUGACGCAGCAACGCCGCGUGAUUGAUUAAGCCCUUCGGGGUGUAAAGAUCUGUCAGUGGGGACGAAACUUGACGGUACACACAGAGGAAGCACCGGCUAACUCCGUGCCAGCAGCCGCGGGAGUACGGAGGGUGCAAGCGGUGUCCGGAAUCAGUGGGCGUAAAGAGUUCGUAGGUGGCAGAUUAAGUCUGGUGUUAAAUGCAGAAGCUCAACUUCUGUUCGGCAGUGGAUCCUGGUAAGCUUGAAUGCGGUAGAGGUAAAGGGAAUGCCUGGUGUAGCGGUGAAAUGCGUAGAUAUCAGGAGGAACAUCGGUGGCGUAAGCGCUGUACUGGGUCGUAAUUGACACUGAGGAACGAAAGCCGGGGUAGCAAAUAGGAUUAGAUACCCUAGUAGUC